rnacentral:tRNA from 1 species
GCUCCUGUGGCUCAGAAGGGUAGGGCGCUGGUCUCAUAUGCCAGAGGUGGUGGGUUCAAACCCAGCCCGGGCCA